rnacentral:rRNA from 1 species
AUGUUUUUUUUUUGCAGGGUAACAUGUAUGAUUGUUGAGGUACAGCACCACUCCCGCUGCAUCCUAUGCGACCAGGAGCCAGAAACGAUGAAGCACCUGCUGGUCAGAUGCCCCUUCUCGCGGCAAAUUUGGCACGAUGCCUUCACUUGGCUACACCUGACCUGUCGGCGGCCCGACCCGGUCCAGGACAGCUGCUUCAAGGACUGGUGGCGGCAAGCCAAGCAAGCCACGCCACAACGAAUGCGGAAAGGGCUUGCAUCGGCGAUCCACUUGACGGCCUGGAUGAUCUGGAAGGAACGGAACGCCUGCGUGUUCGACGGCGCGCAACCCUCCGCCACCCAGCUCAUGGCAAGAAUUAAAGAUGAGGCGACGCUCUGGGUCAGGGCAGGCGCCACCGGCCUGGGACUGAUCCUCCCGAGGACCUGGGACGUCCACUAA